AACGUAGGACGCAAGCGUUAUCCGGAGUUACUGGGGCGUAAAGGGCAGGCAGGCGGGUCGAUAAGUCGGAUGUGAAAUCUCCCUGGCUUAACCGGGAGAGUGCAUUUGAGACUGUCAACCUGGAGGGCAGCAGAGGAGCGUGGAAUUCCGGGUGGAGUGGUGAAAUGCGUAGAGAUCCGGAGGAACACCAGAGGCGAAAGCGGCGCUCUGG
rnacentral:rRNA from 1 species